rnacentral:rRNA from 1 species
AGUGAACGCUGGCGGCGUGCCUAAUACACGCAAGUCGAACGGAGUGGCGUACGGGUGGGUAAUGUAUAGCUAAUAUGCCCUACACUAGAGAACAACAGCUGGAAAAGACUGCUAAAACUCUAUAGUGUAGGAUAAGGCUAUUUUGUAUCAGCUAGUUGGUGAGGUAAUGGCUCACCAAUGCUAUGACGAAUAACUGGUCUGGGAGUGUGAUCAGUCACACGGGAGCGUGUACACGGUCCAGACUCCUUCCUGGAGCAGCAGUAGGGAAUAUUGCUCAAUGGAGCGAACCUUGAGGCAGCAACGCCGCGUGGGGGAUGACACUUUUCGGAGCGUAGACACCUUUUGUUAGGGAAGCGGUACCUAACGAAUAAGCACCGGCUAACUCCGUGCCAGCCGCCGCGGUAAUAC